rnacentral:tRNA from 1 species
AUAAAAAUAAGCUAAUUAAGCUAAUGAGUUCAUACCUCAUUUAUAUAGACAAAAAUCUAUUUUUUAUU